rnacentral:sRNA from 1 species
CUAUAGCCCCGAUUGCAACGGCAUCCUUUUUUGCAUCUUCAGGCUUCGACUUCGCUCAGUCACCAAAUGCAAAAAAGAUAUAGUGGAAAGCGGGAUCAAGC